AAAGUAUAUUUUAAAUGUAACCUUAUCUUUUGUAAGUAAUUAUAUAGAUAUGCAAU
rnacentral:sRNA from 1 species